UGGGGAAUAUUGGACAAUGGGGGCAACCCUGAUCCAGCCAUGCCGCGUGCGUGAAGAAGGCCUUUUGGUUGUAAAGCACUUUAAGCAGGGAGGAGAGGCUAAUGGUUAAUACCCAUUAGAUUAGACGUUACCUGCAGAAUAAGCACCGGCUAACUCUGUGCCAGCAGCCGCGGUAAUACAGAGGGUGCGAGCGUUAAUCGGAAUUACUGGGCGUAAAGCGAGUGUAGGUGGCUCAUUAAGUCACAUGUGAAAUCCCCGGGCUUAACCUGGGAACUGCAUGUGAUACUGGUGGUGCUAGAAUAUGUGAGAGGGAAGUAGAAUUCCAGGUGUAGCGGUGAAAUGCGUAGAGAUCUGGAGGAAUACCGAUGGCGAAGGCAGCUUCCUGGCAUAAUAUUGACACUGAGAUUCGAAAGCGUGGGUAGCAAAACAGGAUUAGAUACCCUGGUAGUCCACGCCGUAAAACGAUGUCUACUAGCCGUUGGGGUCCUCGAGACUUUAGUGGCGCAGUUAACGCGAUAAGUAGACCGCCUGGGGGAGUACGGCCGCAAGGUUAAAACUCAAAUGAAUUGACGGGGUC
rnacentral:rRNA from 1 species